rnacentral:rRNA from 1 species
GACGAACGCUGGCGGCGUGCUUAACACAUGCAAGUCGAACGAAGAGCGAUGGAAGCUUGCUUCUAUCAAUCUUAGUGGCGAACGGGUGAGUAACGCGUAAUCAACCUGCCCUUCAGAGGGGGACAACAGUUGGAAACGACUGCUAAUACCGCAUACGAUCUAACCUUGGCAUCGAGGAUGGAUGAAAGGUGGCCUCUAUUUAUAAGCUAUCACUGAAGGAGGGGAUUGCGUCUGAUUAGCUAGUUGGAGGGGUAACGGCCCACCAAGGCGAUGAUCAGUAGCCGGUCUGAGAGGAUGAACGGCCACAUUGGGACUGAGACACGGCCCAGACUCCUACGGGAGGCAGCAGUGGGGAAUCUUCCGCAAUGGACGAAAGUCUGACGGAGCAACGCCGCGUGAGUGAUGACGGCCUUCGGGUUGUAAAGCUCUGUUAAUCGGGACGAAAGGCCUUCUUGCGAAUAGUUAGAAGGAUGACGGUACC